AGAGAGAGAGAGACUAUUAUGGGGGUAUAAUAAUUGAUCUUGACGAAAGUUGUGGAAGGAGAAGGGCCAGGAGGAAAAUGGGAUGAAAAGUCAAUCUAAAAAAAUGGUGUUAAUUGUCCGCCAAAGUAAGAUAUUUUAUACUAUAUUAGCCCGCAAUAGUGAACGACGUAAAUUAAUAGGUAAAAAACCAGGUAGUAGAUUGGGGGUGAUAAUUCCUUUUUUAAAAGUGGAAAACUUGCACAAAUGAAACUAGUGACUCAGUUACCACUUUUGCAGGGCAAUCUUUAAAUAAACCCUAGAUACGUUGUAUUCUUUCUUUCGUUCAUAUUUUAAUAUCAUUAACUCAGAACACUGCCUGAGAGAUUGCUGAUGGCACGAGUGUCGUGCUUUGCCAGAAAGGGAUGUUUUAGACGUAAUAUUCAUAAUUUAAUCGCACGUUACUGAUUAGUGGUUAACCUCAUUAUGUUGGCAUUUUUAUUUAUAUGAGGUCAAUUUAACUGCCUGCAUUUAGAGGUACACAAAGAAUGUGAUUAGUUAUCAACUAGUUAAUAUUGACUUUUUAUUGCAUCAUAUUUAGAUCUAGACGACUUUUAUAAAAUCCCGGGGUGAAUUUUUUUAACCGCAAAAACUUGCCCAAUUUUUACGCAGUUUGAAAAAAUCACGCACGGUUGGAUAAGGAAAUGGAAAAGGAAGUUUGCAAUGCAACAAGAAGAAGAAAUUCCUUUCGAGGACCCGGGAAUCAAUUAUAUAGGGACAGUGCCCUAAACCAACGGUUAUGGUAUUGCACGGAGGGGUGCUGGAUUUAACAUCUCCACUGGCCCUUUUUAGCAUCAAGAAAGCAAAAGAUUUUCCGAGGCUCUCGAUUUUUGCGGUACUGUGAUUCGUUACCGUAUGCAUGGCAAGCCAUUUAUGCACCCCACUCAAAUCAACCUAUGCAAAAGUUUCCCUUUCAGGCUAGUGAAGGCAAAUCAUUUCCAUACGACAAUCAUGUGUUGAGCCCAAUCAGGUUUUUGUCUGAACUCUUCUUAGUGUGCUCACAUUGUUACUUUUUACAUUCACUGUGUGUGUGUGUGUGUGUGUGUGUGUGUGAUAAGGUCAUGAGAUUGGUGGUUUAAGAUAGGAUAAGUUUAUCAUUGAGCCUAAGCUUUCUUGAAAUAUAUAUUAUAAACUUUUUUUUUCACACUUUUUUCAACCAAAAAUUAGUAUAAAAGGACCAAUUUUUUUCUCCCAAUAAAAAGUGUAACGCUAAUUAAUUAUUAAUAAUAAUUGUUUUGCCAAUUUGGUGCAAUAAUGAGGAUUGUAUAAUACUAUCAUAGGUGGGUGCUGCAUUUUUUUUGAAUAAUUAGUAACAAUGUGCUUACGUAGUUGGUAUGAGUUCUUGAUCCCACUAACCAAUGUGGAUAGAAAAAGGUGUUUGUUUCUUAAUAGAAAAUGGGGCACUCCUUUUCUUCACCAAAUUUGUUGUUAACAAAACAUUUUGGUGCUAUUUAAAUUUUUUUUUUUUUUUU